UACGUAGGGUGCGAGCGUUUGUCCGGAAUUACUGGGCGUAAAGAGCUCGUAGGUGGUUUGUCGCGUUGUUCGUGAAAACUCACAGCUUAACUGUGGGCGUGCGGGCGAUACGGGCAGACUGGAGUACUGCAGGGGAGACUGGAAUUCCUGGUGUAGCGGUGGAAUGCGCAGAUAUCAGGAGGAACGACCGAUGGCGAAGGCAGGUCUCUGGGCAUUAACUGACGCUGAGGAGCGAAAGCAUGGGGGAGCGAACAGG
rnacentral:rRNA from 1 species